rnacentral:rRNA from 1 species
CCUACGGGUGGCAGCAGUGGGGAAUAUUGGACAAUGGGCGGAAGCCUGAUCCAGCAAUGCCGCGUGUGUGAAGAAGGCCUGCGGGUUGUAAAGCACUUUCGGUGGGGAGAAAGAGGCCAUGCUUAAUAAGCAGGGUGGAUGAUGUUACCCACAGAAGAAGCACCGGCUAACUCUGUGCCAGCAGCCGCGGUAAUACAGAGGGUGCGAGCGUUAAUCGGAAUUACUGGGCGUAAAGGGUGCGUAGGUGGUGGCAUAAGUUAGGUGUGAAAGUCCUGGGCUUAACCUGGGGAUUGCGCUUAAUACUGUGAGGCUUGAGUAUUGUAGAGGAAAGUGGAAUUUCCGGUGUAGCGGUGAAAUGCGUAGAUAUCGGAAGGAACAUCAGUGGCGAAGGCGACUUUCUGGACAAAUACUGACACUGAGGCACGAAAGCAUGGGGAGCA